rnacentral:rRNA from 1 species
GACGAAUGCUGGCGGCGUGCCUAACACAUGCAAGUCGAGCGGAGAUAUAUGGAAGGUUUACCGGAAAUAUAUCUUAGCGGCGGACGGGUGAGUAACGCGUGGGCAACCUGCCUCAUACAGGGGGAUAACACAGGGAAACUUGUGCUAAUACCGCAUGAAAUCAUAGUAUGGCAUCAUACAAUGAUCAAAGGAGCAAUCCGGUAUGAGAUGGGCCCGCGUCCGAUUAGCUAGUUGGUGAGGUAACGGCUCACCAAGGCGACGAUCGGUAGCCGAACUGAGAGGUUGAUCGGCCACAUUGGGACUGAGACACGGCCCAGACUCCUACGGGAGGCAGCAGUGGGGAAUAUUGCGCAAUGGGGGAAACCCUGACGCAGCAACGCCGCGUGAAGGAAGAAGGCCUCGGGUUGUAAACUUCUUUGAUAGGGGACGAUAAUGACGGUACCCUAAAACGAAGACCACGGACUAACUAACGUGACCCAGCAGCCGCGGUAAGAGUCACG